AGCCUCAUCCAGCACCUAAACUAAUGUACGUUUUACUGUUUAAUUCUGUCGUUCUACUGACACAAUAGCUUGUGGAUGAUAUGAACUCGGUUGGAGGAGAUGAGAAACAACUUACAGCGGCAAUCUUAAUACAGCUAAUGGCCAAAGAAGUAUGUUUUUCAUACUCAGUGUAUGGAAUGAAACAAAAACGUCCUGCAAGGUCGUUAUAGAGUUGCGUUUAGUCGUUUAUCGUUGUAUUCGUUCAUUUCGAAAUCGCUACUGACAAAAGUAUUAAA